rnacentral:rRNA from 1 species
GAUGAACGCUAGCGGCAGGCUUAAUACAUGCAAGUCGAGGGACAGCACAGGUAGCAAUACUGGGUGGUAACCGGCAAACGGGUGCGGAACACGUACACAACCUUCCUUUAAGUGGGGGAUAGCCCAGAGAAAUUUGGAUUAAUACCCCGUAAUAUAGUUGAAUGGCAUCAUUUGAUUAUUAUAGCUACGGCGCUUAAUGAUGGGGGUGCGGCUGAUUAGAUAGUUGGCGGGGUAACGGCCAACCAAGUCUACGAUCAGUAGAUGAUGUGAGAGCAUGAUCAGCCAACCGGGCACUGGGACACGGGCCCGACUCCUACGGGAGGCAGCAGUAAGGAAUAUUGGUCAAUGGACGCAAGUCUGAACCAGCCAUGCCGCGUGAAGGAUUAAGGUCCUCUGGAUUGUAAACUUCUUUUAUUUGGGACGAAAAAGGGCCUUUCUAGGUCAACUGACGGUACCAGAUGAAUAAGCACCGGCUAACUCCGUGCCAGCAGCCGCCGUAAUAC